rnacentral:lncRNA from 1 species
GAGGGUGCACCUUUGUACCUAACUUAGAAGUAGGAUCAUACCACUUCCAUAGAAAGAGAACCAAUUUUUUCUAUGACCAACCAACAUAAUAAUCGAGUUCUAAAAUCUCAUGAAGCACACCAUAAUAAUCAACACCACCAUCACCUUUCACCCAAACCCCACUAUUGUUGGUUUUCUUUUCCUUAGAGAACUCUUUUGUAUGAAAUUUGUACUCAUUGACAGAGUACUUAGAAAACUUU